UCUAAGGGAUACAGUGCGUGGUGGUAGGGU
rnacentral:piRNA from 1 species